AUCUUUGUAGUGUACAAAUAACACAUUUCAUUUUCAUUGACAAAAAGAGACUUAAUCUCCUAAGAUA
rnacentral:tRNA from 1 species